rnacentral:tRNA from 1 species
GCCGAAGUGGCGGAAUUGGCAGACGCGGCGGACUCAAAAUCCGUUGGGCCCUCAAACCCGUGUGGGUUCGACUCCCACCUUCGGCACCA